GUGGUUGUGGGCGGUGCGUGCGUGUCGCGGGAGCGCGCGAACGGCCCUUCCCCCUCCCCCACCCCCGUGAUCCGGUGUCCGUGGAACCGGGUGGGUCGGUGGCCCUUCACCCCCCGGAGUCUCUGGUUUUGAAGAUGAAUGCAAUGGAAGUCCAUUGAUGGCCUAAGCAAGCACCAACAUGACCAUAGAAUGUCCCAAGAGCAUGGGCUCUGGGAAAGCAGACUGAUGAUUUGGCAUCUCCUCACAAAGACAACAUGACAGGCUCUUCAACCAAGCUGUGCAAACUGAGCGGAGUCAAAUUCUAAAGGAAGAUAGUGAUCCAAUAGUUGUCCAUGCUGAAGACAGAUGUUCAAAAAGUGAUUUCUCAGCUGCUACAAGACUGGUUGAUCUAAAGUUGCUUCAGGAAUAUGUGGUGUUUCCUGAUGAGAAAUUAACGUUUUGGGAAAAAUUAAACUGAAGAUGGUUCAGUAUUUUGCAUAAACGUGUUCUUACAAAAGUGAACCAGUGUGAUACAAGAUCCGCUACAUCACUGUUGGUUUCCUUGUGGGAAAGAAUGCAACAGAAAACUUCAGCAAAGUGAUGAAAUUCCUUUGAGUUUGUCAGAAUGCCCUUGAAAAUUCUAGAAUCAGAAAGUUUUAUACAUUGAAAUGUGAAAAUCUGUGAGCAACAUGAAGAACACAGACACACUUAAUGCUUUACCAGUGCUGUCGAUAGAAAAUGAACCAGUGAAAUCCAUCCCAGACUUUUAGCACCACAGACACUGGGGGUUUUUGCAAGGCUGAAGAGUAGGAUGGACACUCUUUCUAUGAACCUGUCACGCACUGCGAAGAGAAAUGAAGAAUUGUUAGAACCAGCCUGAGACCAGUGGCAGUCUAUGCAGGACUACUCCAUAAGGAACAGAAACAAGAAACUGUUAAAAAGGUGGAAUGUUAAGUCUCCAUGUAGUGUAACACAAGGUGAUUUUAACUGUAUUGGAGCAGUGUUUGGUAAUGUUUAUGUAGACAAAAAAUAAAGGUUUAUGUUUCUGUUCUCAGAA